GACGAACGCUGGCGGCGUGCUUAACACAUGCAAGUCGAACGGUGAAGCGCCUUCCUUUUUGGUGGGUGUGGAUGAGUGGCGAACGGGUGCGUAACACGUGAGUAACCUGCCCCCUUCUUCUGGAUAACCGCAUGAAAGUGUUGCUAAUACGGGAUAUGCUGGGUCUGUCGCAUGAUGGGUCUGGGAAAGAUUUUGUUUCGGUGGGGGAUGGGCUCGCGGCCUAUCAGCUUGUUGGUGGGGUGAUGGCCUACCAAGGCGGUGACGGGUAGCCGGCCUGAGAGGGUGGGCGAUCAUAGUGGGGCGGAGACGCGGCGAAGACUCCUACAGGAAGCAGCAGGGAAGAAUGUUGCACGGUGGGAGCAAGCAUGAAGCAGCGACGCCGCGGGGAGGAUGGAGGCCUUCGUGUUGUGAACCUCUUUCGCGAGUGAAGCACGGCUGCCUAGUUUGUGGGUGGGUUGACGGUAGCUGGAGAAGAAGCGCCGGCUAACUACGUG
rnacentral:rRNA from 1 species